rnacentral:rRNA from 1 species
AUGCACGCUGGCGGCGUGCCUAAUACAUGCCAGUCGAGCGAACAGACGAGGAGCUUGCUCCUCUGACGUUAGCGGCGGACGGGUGAGUAACACGUGGAUAACCUACCUAUAAGACUGGGAUAACUUCGGGAAACCGGAGCUAAUACCGGAUAAUAUAUUGAACCGCAUGGUUCAAUAGUGAAAGACGGUUUUGUUGUCACUUAUAGAUGGAUCCGCGCCGCAUUAGCUAGUUGGUAAGGUAACGGCUUACCAAGGCAACGAUGCGUAGCCGACCUGAGAGGGUGAUCGGCCACACUGGAACUGAGACACGGUCCAGACUCCUACGGGAGGCAGCAGUAGGGAAUCUUCCGCAAUGGGCGAAAGCUUGACGGAGCAACGCCGCGUGAGUGAUGAAGGUCUUCGGAUCGUAAAACUCUGUUAUUAGGGAAGAACAAAUGUGUAAGUAACUAUGCACGUCUUGACGGUACCUAAUCAGAAAGCCACGGCUAACUACGUG